AAGAUUGAGGAGCACGAAGUGAGUAGUGUGGAAUGAGCAGUGAGGAAUUACCAGUCAGAACUUCUUUAAGUUUCGACGUCCGAUCAUCCAUCAUCGUCAGUUGGCGGUAUCAAGAUCGACAUAAGAGCACGGCUAAAGAAGGCUAGAGCUGCUAUUGCGAGUUUACGAAAUAUAUAUAGAGAUUCAAUCAGAUCAGUCAACGCACCAAAAGUCGAAUUUUAAUUUUCAACGUGAAAUCUGUACGUGGUGCUGGUGCAUAUCAGCAGAGACCAUACAGAAACUACAGGUUUUCACCAACCUUGUCGCCAACCAAUGUCAGCAGUUUAUAAUUCGGGCCGGGUGGCUUCGCAACAGGAUCUCGAAUACUGAGCUCCAUCGACGAUGCUAUUAAAAAUCCGAGAUCAACAGAAACUCGAGAAAGUAAAUGCAGGUGGGUCUGCAAGCAAGCGCUGGAUUGGAAUCCGGCAGGACAUCGCAGCAGAAGCAGACCUAAGAACUCGUGGCGAUGAAGCCACAUGAAAGAAAUCAAGUAAGUCGAUAGGAAUCUGCCCUGGGCCCCCAGUUCAAGUCCAAAGCGAAUAGGCACGCAGGAUGGCUAACUUUUACGUUCCCCUAUGCACCCCCAGAGGUGCUCAGGAUACAUGAGUAAGUGAAUGAGUGAGAACUGAGCAGUGUGGAGUGACGAGUGAGCAGUGAAAAGUAUGAAGUGGGUUGUGAGGAUUGAUUAGUGAUGAGUAAAGAUUCCAAAUUUCAGCGCCCCCUUUACUGGUACGCACUCACGGAUAUGACUUCAAUAUUGCGCCCUAUUUUGGAAUUAUUCCGGGAAAACCACUUCGUCAUUAUUAUUUCACGAAAUUGUUCUGUAAUUAUCGCGGAAGAGACAUUCUUGCUGGAUUUCCUUCCAUGAGUUAAGCAAGAAGUCAUCCUAAAAUUUCUAGAAAACUUUCCAGGAUUACCUCCAGGGGCACCACCAGCAAUUCCUUUGGGGAUUCUCUCAAAAUUAUACAAAAUAAUCUGGAAUGUUUACAGAAAGAAGACUAUUGCAUAAUUUCUUUAAAUGAUUCUAGCAAGAAUUCCUUUAAAGAAUUCUUCCAAUAUCCCUUCACAUCCCUAUCCAUGGAUUUCUUUGAAAUUUCCUCCAGGGGUUCCUUCAAAAGUUCUAUCAGGGAUUUUCGUUAGGACUGCUUCAGGAGUUUCUCAAGAAAUUUCUCGUGAGAUUCACCCCGAAACUUGUCAACCGGUAUCCUUAGAAAUUCCCUUCGAAUUUCCUUGCGGAAUUGCUCAAGGGAUUUCAUCGGAAAUUCUUUCAAGGAUUGCUACAUAAGUUCAUGCUUGUAUUCCUUGAUGAGUUUCUUCAAACAUUUCUAAAGCAAUUCCUCAAGGAAAUUGUCAGAUUUUUUCCCUUGAAUUUUUCUUAGGGAUUUCUCUGAAAAUUUGUCAAAACAUUUUUCAAGAAAUUCAUCUAGGAAACCGUUUCUAUUUAUCAAAACAUACAAUUCCAGGAGUUUUUUUAACAUAAUUUCUAGGUUCUUUCAGAAAUUCCUCUAGAAUUUCUUCGGGAAUUCAAAUUUCUUCCAGAAACUUUUCAGAAAUUAUUGCUUGAAUUUCUCCAGAGGUUCGUUCAGGUAUUGCUUCAUUUAUUCCGGGAUUUUUUCGAGAACUUAUUGGGAAUUUCCUUUUUGGAUUUAUUAAGAACUUCCCUCAGGAGUUCAGGACUUUUAAGGUUCCAAGUUUUUCUUAACAAUUACUGCAGAAAUUAUUCCAGAAUUUACUUCUUAGCAUUUUUCAUGGAAUUUUUCAAGAUUUUUUUCUACGAAUACUUUCAGAGGAAUCUCCAAUUCUUAAAGGUAUUAUUCAGUUGUCAGCUAGCUCUCGAUCGGUUCGGUUGCCUUUCCUAUCGACCUCGACGUUGUGCUAUUGUUAAAAGUCUAACAAUGGGCAUUCCUCGAAAAAACACGGUAGUCGUUGAUUUCAACGUGCUACCCAAACGUCCGAGCCCUGCAGAAGUGCAAAAAUUCAUCCGUGAAAAAUUGAAGCUGGAUAUUUCAACAGUGAGGAAUUCCACGGAGUCAUGUCAGGCGAUCCUGAGCGACCAUUUCAAAAAUAUCUGAAACUUUGCACAGUUUUUCAAUUUCAUCUAAAUCGUCAUUUUUCGAUAUCAAACCUUCAUAUUCACUCACGACUAACUUUUCAGAAGGGUGUAUGCUAAAACAGCUCAAAAAUAUUCUAAAAGCUGUACAGCAAAAACGGAUUUUUCGAUUGUUAUGAAUUUUUCAGCAAAGUUAGAUAACUAAAUGAUGAUUUCUUAGAAAAUAUACACUGUAAAAAAUUUAUUUUUUUACUUAAAAAAAAUAUGAUUUUUGUCACAAAAACUCAAAUAUCUCAAAACCCUAUCUUUUUACCAACGUUAAUUUUUUAGGGGAAAUGGCCCUUUAUAUCAGCUAUCUACCAUAAAAUUUUGGUGAUGGUAAACUGAUAAACAAAAAAGUUAUGACAUUUCAAAUAUUUCACAAUUUUUACAUUUAGUAACAAAAAAAAUUUUUUUUCUGUGUAAAUUAUUUUGAGAAUUAUUUUUUGAUGCUGAUUUUAUUGUAAAGGCUACCGCCUGAAUUAAACAAGUUGUUUUCAUGAUACUUUUGUUUGAUUAUUCAUAAUUUCUAUAGUAUCUAUUUGAAACUUAGACGCGAUCCAGUGUUUUGAUCAAAAAUAUUGAGAGUGUCAUACUUUUUAUUGUACGUGACUGGUGAAAAAAUCCCUUGAUAGUGUUGAAAAGCUGUUGAUUAUAAGAAAAAUGGAAUUAAACUUAUUUUUAAGACAAAAGCUGUAUAAUAAAAGUUUUAUAUACGCGUAUACGUCUAGUUUAUCUUCAAAAAAAUACCUCUUAGAGAACAGACUUUAUGAUCGGAAGAAUGCGAGUAACUUCAACAACAACAAAUGCAUGAGAGUUACCUACCACGUGAAAAUCCAUCGCCCAGUUCACACUACCCCCACCUGGUGGAAAUGUUUCACGAAAUACUGCGAUGUGCAAUAUCGUCAUCAGAAGGCGCUAGUGUGAAACGUCAAACGCAAAGAAAAAUGAUGGGCACUCUUCUGGUUAUGAAAGCCACAACCAAGAUUCAAAAUGAUCGUUAAAGGCGUGGUCAAUGAAAAUUUCGUCAGUGUUACGUUUGUUUGUCUGUAUACAUACCAUGACAAUGCUCACGAAAAAGCAAAAAAAAAAUACUACCGCUAUGGAUAUUAAAUAGUAAAUUUUUUCUUCAGCCAAGCAAACAACACCAAACUAGUCAGUUAAAACUAAUAAGUGAUUUUGUUUAUUAUAAUCUAACGAACAACAUGAACAGUCGCUUUCUCAAAGGUCUUCAACUCAACUCUCUCUUGUAGACCGUUUGAUGAAAAAAAAAUGAUCAAAGGAGUUACGAAAUCUCACCGAAAGCACCAUAGAUAAUCUGAAAGAGACUGGUUAUGCCCAAAUUGAAUCCAAAUUUACGCAUUUGCACGUCCUGCCGUCUAGACUUUGACAAACGAGCCAUCUGUAUAUCAUCGGUAAAGCAGGGCGUAGGAAGUUCGAAAACGACAACAACUGAGAAAUUGCCAGAAGUGCUAAGUGCAGAGAGUCAUGUCACCGUACCAUCAGCGACAUCAGUUUAAACAAUUAAUCACGCCCCUUUUCAAAAAUGCUUUGAUAUAUACUUCAACAUCUAUACCCAUUUCAAUAUUUUUAACGUUGCAAAACACGCUUUCAACAUUCAUUUUGAAGAAGAGGGAAAACACUUGUCCUCAAAUGUAACAGCAAAUAAUGAAUAAACGACUAAUGCGCGGAGGGCGUGAUAAAAUCGGAACAUUACUGUACAUAUAAUAUACAUAAUACAUAAUAAAAACAGCUUGUUUUACUCACGCAAGGCCAUUAACAAUAAAAUCAGCAUCAAGCUGCGAUUUCCGGCCGAAAUAAAGGCAGGAACAAAUCUCAUUUUCUUCUUUUGUCACAGCGCUCGUUGACUCGUUAAGGGGGAGGAUGAUAAAUAAUAAAUGUAUUCGAUGGAAAAAUAUCCAAACAAUUAGGCAACAUAGAUAAACUCAUCGGAUUUAUUAAGAAAGUUUCUGUGGAACUCGAAUUACACCUUAAAUUUGUUGAUUUUCUUGAACAUUUUAUUUGUGCCCCCCUCAAAAUGUUGAAUUCCGACCAAAAUUUUCCGAGGGGGCGGUGACAUAAGAGAAAAUCGAAAUUUGUAUUAGCCUAAUUUACACUAAAAAAAAUUAUUACUAAAUGUGAAAAUUGUGGAAUGUUUGAAUUGUCAUAACUUUUUUGUUUAUUAGUUUAUCAUCACCAAAUUUUUAUGGUAGAUUGCUAAUACAAUGGACCGUUUUCCCUAAAAAAAUUGCGUUGGUAAAAAGAUAGGGUUUUGAAAUAUUUGAGUUUUUGUGACAAAAAUGAUAUUUUUUAAUGUUAAAAAAGAUUUUUUUUCACAGUGUAUAUUUUCUUAGGAAUCACCAUUUAGUUAUCUAACUUUGCUGAACAAUAAAAUCAGCAUCAAACUGCGAUUUCUGACCGAAAUAAUUUACACAAAAAAAAAUAUUUACCAAAUGUGAAAAUUGUGAAAUGUUUGAAAUGUUAUAACUUUUUUGUUUAUUAGUUUACCAUCACCAAAUUUUUAUGGUAGAUUGCUAAUACAAUGGACCGUCUUCCCUAAAAAAAUUGCGUUGGUAAAAAGAUAGGGUUUUGAGAUAUUUGAGUUUUUGUGACAAAAAUGAUAUUUUUAAUGUUAAAAAAGAUGUUUUUUUCACAGUGUAUAUUUUCAUAGGAAUCACCAUUUAGUUAUCUAACUUUGCUGAAAAAUUCAUAGCAAUCGAACGAACCAUUUUGGCUGUACAGAUUUUUGAAUAUUAUUGAACCAUUUUCACAUACACCCUUUCGAAAAGUUAGUCGUGAUUCAAAAUAAAAAUUUGAUAUCGAAAAAUGGCGAUUUAGAUGGAACUGAAAAACUGUGCAAAGUUUCAGUUCAAUAGAAAAUCAUGAAUUAAAAAAUUUCCUUAAUUUUGAUGCUGUUGCUUGGAAUCGCUCUGUAAUUUCCGAAGAUUUAAGGCACGAUUCAAUAUCCGUAAACUUGUUCAUUGCCAAAAUGAUUAACUUUUUACGCGUUGAUAAACAUAAAGAAGUCAAAAAGAUAUAUUUUAUGUCUGAUGGAGCAGCGUCGCAGUACAAAAACCGUAAGAAUUUUUCGAGCCUAUGUCAAUUUAAAUCAAUGUACGGAAUUGAUGCAGAAUGGCAUUUUUUUGCUACGUCACAUGGCAAAGGUCCUUGUGAUGCUAUUGGAGGAACAAUAAAGCGCAUGGCCACAAGAGCAAGUUUAGCCAAAGAACGUGAGCAUCCUAUUAAAACUGCGAAAGAACUUUUUGAAUGGGCGAAUCGUAGAAAAGAAGAAGAUUUAACCAAAUUAUCAUUUUGUUUUACUACUACGGAAGAGUACGAAAUAAAGGCUUCAGAGCUCAGCGAGCAAUAUAAUAACGCGAAAACGAUCCAAGGAACCCAAAAAUUCCAUUGUUUCAUUCCAUUGUCAGAAAAUAAAAUUAAAGCAAAACUAUACUCAAACUGUUCUGACAAUAAUGCCAAAGUGUUCGAUAUUGUAAAAAAAUAAAUAAAAUCAAAUAAAAAAUAAGUAAAACUGUUUUCAUGAUCUCAUAACCCAUAAUAAAAUCCAAACCCAAAACUCUUAGCCCUCUCUUACCCCUAUUGUGUCAAAUCUAUGAUUAUUGUUGUGUAAUUUGAGAAUUCAUUUAUAUGUAUAAAUAUUAUAUGUAUAUAUAUUAUAUGUAUAUAUAUUACAUGUAUAUACAUAUAAUAUAAAUACAUAUAAUAUUUAUACAUAUAAUAUACAUAAUACAAAUGAAUACACAAAUAUUGAAUAUCGUAAAAACAACUUGUUUAACUCCCGCAAGACCCUUAACAAAAAAAACAGCACCAAACUGUGAUUCUCGAAAUAAUUUAGACGGUAAAAAAUUUUUUUCUACUAAAUGUAAAAAAUUGUGAAAUGUUUGAAAUGUCAUAACUUUUUUGUUUAUUAGUUUACCAUCACCAAAUUUUUGUGGUAGAUAGCUAAUAUAACGGACCAUUUUCCCUAGAAAAAUGACGUUGGUAAAAAGAUAGGGUUUUGAGAUAUUUAAGUUUUUGUGACAAAAAUUAUAUUUUUUAAUGCAAAAAAAAUAUUUUUUUUACAGUGUAUAUUUUUUUAGUAAUCACCAUUUAGUUAUCUAACUUUGCUGAAAAAAUCAUAACAAUCGAACGAACCGUUUUUGCUGUGCAGCUUUUUGAAUAUUUUUCAACCAUUUUCAUAUA